rnacentral:misc_RNA from 1 species
UUGAGAGGGGGCUUGCUCCCGAUAGCAGUAUGUCAGUCAGCACAUGUGUUGGCUGACUCUGCGCUAUCGGGAGCAAGCCCCCUCCCAC